rnacentral:rRNA from 1 species
CACUAUGCAUGGCCGUAAAUACUGAUAUCUUAAAACAUUGAUCAUUCGCCAGGGUACUACGAACGUAAGUUUAAAACCCAAAGGACUUGGCGGUACUUCAGAUCCAACUAGAGGAGCCUGUUCUAUAACCGAUAUUCCCCGUUUAACCUCACCUUUCCUAGUUUAAACCGCCUAUAUACCGCCGUCAUCAGCCUACCCCGUGAGGAAACUGUAGUAGGCUUAAGCGCCACUAAUCCAAAAUGUCAGGUCGAGGUGUAGCGCAUGGAAAGGGAUGAAAUUGGCUACAUUUAGUGCACCCACUAUAUACGAACGAUGAGUUGAAACACCCAACAGAAGGUGGAUUUAGCAGUAAGAGGAAAACAGAGAGUUCCCCUGAAAUCGGCUCUGAAGUGCGUACACACCGCCCGUCACUCUCCCCGAAAAUUAAUACCUAUAUCCAUAAUACACCACCGCCAGAAAGGGGAGGCAAGUCGUAA